GUGUCAGCCGCCGCGGUAAUACGGAGGGUGCAAGCAUUAAUCGGAUUUAUUGGGCGUAAAGGGCGCGUAGGCGGGUUUGUAAGUCAGAUGUGAAAUCCCGGGGCUCAACCUCGGAACAGCAUUUGAAACUGCAUACCUAGAGGGUAGGCGGAGAAAACGGAAUUCCACAAGUAGCGGUGAAAUGCGUAGAUAUGUGGAAGAACACCGGUGGCGAAGGCGGUUUUCUAGCUUACUCCUGACGCUGAGGCGCGAAAGCAAGGGGAUCAAACAGGAUUAGAUACCCUGGUAGUCCUUGCCGUAAACGAUGUAUACUUGGUGUAACCGGACUCAACCCUGGUUGUGCCGAAGCUAACGCGAUAAGUAUACCGCCUGGGGAGUACGCUCGCAAGGGUGAA
rnacentral:rRNA from 1 species